AUGUGUAUCCACUGCAACUUUGCAUGCACCAUCUGGAUCAAGAUACAGAAUCUUUUCAUCUUUCUGGCGAGUUACUCCUCUCCCUUCAGAUUAGCUUUGCCUGAACAUCAUACACAUGGGUCACACGAGCACACCUUGCAUUGAAAAAGAACCAGCCGGUUUUGGAGGGAGCCUGAGGAAGGUGGACAGAUGUGGAAGUUCAAGUGGUCUUUUUUGACAGAGCAUCCCGGGGUCCUCUUAAAGACAAGUCAGAGGCAAAAACCUGGGGAUGUGGAGAUUGUGGAGGGUUUCACCCACACUGCACCCUUGGUCCUCACAGCCACCCUCAUGUGAGUUACCAUCCUCCUCCUCAGGAUGAAGACGCUCGCUGAGGGUCAGGCAGGCCACAGACCCAUGAGCAGCUUUUAAAUUGGAGCUUCAAAACCUGCUUCUCUGAGUGCGGGUCCUCUCUACUAAACCACAAAAGAAAUCCCCUAAACCCAAACACCCUGGGAUUCAUUAAUCAAGAAUUA